CCUACGGGUGGCAGCAGUGAGGAAUAUUGGUCAAUGGGCGGAAGCCUGAACCAGCCAAGUAGCGUGCAGGAUGACGGCCCUACGGGUUGUAAACUGCUUUUAUACGGGAAUAACGCGCCUUACGUGUACGGCUUUGCAUGUACCGUAUGAAUAAGGACCGGCUAAUUCCGUGCCAGCAGCCGCGGUAAUACGGAAGGUCCGGGCGUUAUCCGGAUUUAUUGGGUUUAAAGGGAGCGUAGGCGGCAUGUCAAGCGUGCUGUGAAAUGUCCGGGCUCAACCCGGGCCUUGCAGUGGAAACUGGCGUGCGUGAGUACGCGGAAGGCAGGCGGAAUUCGUGGUGUAGCGGUGAAAUGCUUAGAUAUGACGAAGAACCCCGAUUGCGAAGGCAGCUUGCUGGAGCGGAACUGACGCUGAUGCUCGAAAGCGCGGGUAUCGAACAGGAUUAGAUACCCGAGUAGUC
rnacentral:rRNA from 1 species